AAGACUAUACUUUCAGGGAUCACUUCUUUAGUUCUUGACUUGAGAAAUGUGUUUCUAAAGAGUUCGGUCUCGCUGCCCACGAUGAAGAGUUCAGAUGUUUCCUUCAGAGCAGGAAAGUGGUGGGAAGACUUUGUUUCUUCUCCACUGUUGAAGAUUGUUCAGUGUUUUUGAGUGAGACUCUGAUGGAGGAAACAUGAUCUGAGUGGAU
ensembl:snoRNA